GACGAACGCUGGCGGCGUGCUUAACACAUGCAAGUCGAACGGAAAGGCCCUGCUUUUGUGGGGUGCUCGAGUGGCGAACGGGUGAGUAACACGUGAGUAACCUGCCCUUGACUUUGGGAUAACUUCAGGAAACUGGGGCUAAUACCGGAUAGGAGCUCCUGCUGCAUGGUGGGGGUUGGAAAGUUUCGGCGGUUGGGGAUGGACUCGCGGCUUAUCAGCUUGUUGGUGGGGUAGUGGCUUACCAAGGCUUUGACGGGUAGCCGGCCUGAGAGGGUGACCGGCCACAUUGGGACUGAGAUACGGCCCAGACUCCUACGGGAGGCAGCAGUGAGGAAUAUUGCACAAUGGGCGGAAGCCUGAUGCAGCAACGCCGCGUGCGGGAUGACGGCCUUCGGGUUGUAAACCGCUUUCGCCUGUGACGAAGCGUGAGUGACGGUAAUGGGUAAAGAAGCACCGGCUAACUACGCG
rnacentral:rRNA from 1 species